AGCCGCAAAGGCAAUGGUAUCUGCCUCAAACCGCCGCCCGUUCGGGAUGUGCUGAUGAUACCUGCAUAAAC
rnacentral:ncRNA from 2 species